GAUGAAGAACGUAGCGAAAUGCGAUAAGUAAUGUGAAUUGCAGAAUUCAGUGAAUCAUCGAAUCUUUGAACGCACAUUGCGCCCCUUGGUAUUCCGAGGGGCAUGCCUGUUCGAGCGUCAUUAUAACCCCUCAAGCUCAGCUUGGUGUUGGGGCCUGCUGCAGUGGCAGCCCUUAAAAUCAGUGGCGGCGCCAUCUGGCUCUAAGCGUAGUAAUUCUUCUCGCUAUGGAGUCCUGGCGGAUGCUUGCCAUCAACCCCCAAUUUUUCUAUGGUUGACCUCGGAUCAGGUAGGGAUACCCGCUGAACUUAAGCAUAUCAAUAAGCGGAGGA
rnacentral:misc_RNA from 1 species